rnacentral:rRNA from 1 species
GGGUCUAAAACAUCCGUAGCUUGCUUGUUCGUAAGUNUCUUGUGAAAUCUUGUGUCUUAANCAUAGGGCGUGCAAGAAGUACUGCCGAACUAGAGACUGGGAGACGUAAGAAGUACGUCCGGAGUAGCGGUAAAAUGUGUUAAUCCCGGAUGGACUAACAAUGACCAAGGGCUUCUACCAAGACCGUUCUGACAGUAAGGGAUAAAGGCUAGGGGCCAAAACGGAUUAAAUACCCGUGUAGUCCUACCAGUAAAAACUGCACACUAAACAUUAGUACCUC